rnacentral:sRNA from 1 species
AUCACACAAGCCAACAGACCUGGGGAGAGAAUACAACCUCUACACAGAACGAUCCAGUUAAACACAGCAUACAGUCCCAAGCUAGGUGCUGCAGACAAAAAGACGGUUAUGACUUGUCUCUUGAGAGGUCUGCUAUCUGAUGGCAGAGACAGACUUUUAAACAACUAACCAUAAAGCAGAAGGAUAAGUGCUGCUUUUAUAGAAGGUUAUAUAUAAAGUCUUAUGAACAUAUAAAAAGGAGGCCAAGUCAUUCUAUCUGGGCUGCUUAAGGCAUAUAUCUCAGAGAAAGGGACAUUUGAAUUAGACUUUGCAGACAAAUAGGAGUUUGCUAGGUGAGAAGCAGCAGGAGAGAGUUUUAGGCAGAGAGAACUGAAAGAAGUAGAAACAUGAAAAAUGCAUGGUGCUUGGAAAGUAGGGAGCAGCUUAAUGUGGCUGAAGCUGAGGAUACAUGGAUGGCUGCAUAUAGAAGCUUCCUCUUCCCGGACCUGGCCAAGGAGCUGCAAAAUCAUGAUUCUAAUAUGAUGCAGAAUAAGAAGUGUUCUAGUCCCACAGAUCAAAGGGCUGAUUGUUGUGACAUUGGCCGUAUGCUGGAUGCCCAACCAGAUUCGGAGGAUCAUGGCUGCGGCCAAACCCAAGCACGACUGGACGAGGUCCUACUUCCGGGCGUACAUGAUCCUCCUCCCCUUCUCGGAGACGUUUUUCUACCUCAGCUCGGUCAUCAACCCGCUCCUGUACACGGUGUCCUCGCAGCAGUUUCGGCGGGUGUUCGUGCAGGUGCUGUGCUGCCGCCUGUCGCUGCAGCACGCCAACCACGAGAAGCGCCUGCGCGUACAUGCGCACUCCACCACCGACAGCGCCCGCUUUGUGCAGCGCCCGCUGCUCUUCGCGUCCCGGCGCCAGUCCUCUGCAAGGAGAACUGAGAAGGUUUUCUUAAGCACUUUUCAGAGCGAGGCCAAGCCCCAGUGUAAGUCCCAGUCAUUGAGUCUCGAGUCACUAGAGCCCAACUCAGGCGCGAAACCAGCCAAUUCUGCUGCAGAGAAUGGUUUUCAGGAGCAUGAAGUUUGAAUGUCAAGCGAGGGAGCCUUGAGUGGGAACUGGCCCUCCAGCCCUAAGAAAACGUCACUCUCACUCUGCGGUCUCAAACUAUGCCCCCAUCAGGGAUGGAAUGGACACUGGAGGCUUUACAAAAGGCAGAUGCCUACCUCAGUGACUUCUAAGGACUGACUCUGCCAGCCUGGCCUUGACUCUGGUUACACAGACACGGGGGUGAACUUUCACUCCACCUCCUUCCUUCAAGUACAUACUGAAAAUUCAGUCAGACUGAAUUUAUUCAGAAUGCUUUACCGAGCUCUUUCAUUAUUUGCACAGGAACAAAAGAGAACACGGACUCCCGCUCCCUACCCAGAAUAAAAGGACACCCAGAAGAAACUCACUCAGGGAGGUGUGGGGGGUUGGGGGCGAGGGCUGGAGGAGCAGUGCAGGAGGGGGUGGCAUCUCCUUCAGCUUCAGCAGUGUGCCGAGAAGAGGGCUAAUUUGAGGAACAGGAUGGUGGUGGGGAGCCCUGGCCUGAGGGCCGAGGCAGAACUUCCCCUUUUCUUGGGCCUUGGCCCGUUACAAAGAGGGGUGUUGCAGCAGCUGAUGCAAACUGAGUUCAGUUUCCCUGGGGAGCAGAAGGACUGGUACCCGGCAGAGGCGAUGAGACAGGCCGCUGAUGAUGCACAGGACUUGCGGUACAUGAUCCCUGUAACACAGACCCAAAGGAGCUGAGUUAACGUGCACCGGCAAAAGAAUAGCUGGCCCUCUCAGCCCAAAUCCAAACGGACAGCUCUUCCUUACUCCUCCCACAGCCCAGAGACUAGGUGAGGUCAGGGAAGUGCUUGGGAUUGUCUCAUUGAUAUUCAAGAUAGAUGGUGAAAGAGACAGGCACUAUUUCAUUAGUUUUAACAAAACUGUUCCAAAAGCGAUUUGAGAUGCCAAUACCUGUGAAUACCUGUUAAUAAAGAGCUGUUAAACAG